rnacentral:rRNA from 13 species
GUGAAUCAGCCAGCACCAUCUGGCAAGGCUAAAUACUACUGAGUGACCGAUAGUGGACCAGUACUGUGAAGGAAAGGUGAAAAGCACCCUGAAAAAGGGAGUGAAAGAGAACCUGAAACCAUGUACCUACAAACAGUCGGAGCCCUUCGGGGUGACGGCGUGCCUUUUGCAUAAUGAGCCUACGAGUUGUUCCUUGGCAGCGAGGUUAAGC